rnacentral:misc_RNA from 1 species
UUAAGUUCAGCGGGUAUCCCUACCUGAUCCGAGGUCAACCUUAGAAAAAGUGUCCUUGCGGACGACGACCGGCGCCUGGACUCCCAACCGUGUACGUGCCCGAGAGCUCAGUGUACAGGGGUCCUCACAGACGCCUCAUUAUCUUUGGGCGGGACGAGGCCUAAAGCCACGCCGGCACCAACAGCAAGCCGGGCUUGAGG